rnacentral:rRNA from 1 species
AACGAACGCUGGCGGCAGGCCUAACACAUGCAAGUCGAGCGAAGCCUUCGGGCUUAGCGGCGGACGGGUGAGUAACGCGUGGGAACGUGCCCUUUGGUACGGAAUAGCCCCGGGAAACUGGGGGUAAUACCGUAUGUGGUCGAGAGACGAAAGAUUUAUCGCCAAAGGAUCGGCCCGCGUUGGAUUAGGUAGUUGGUGGGGUAAUGGCCUACCAAGCCGACGAUCCAUAGCUGGUUUGAGAGGAUGAUCAGCCACACUGGGACUGAGACACGGCCCAGACUCCUACGGGAAGCAGCAGUGGGGAAUCUUAGACAAUGGGGGAAACCCUGAUCUAGCCAUGCCGCGUGAUCGAUGAAGGCCUUAGGGUUGUAAAGAUCUUUCAGUGGGGAAGAUAAUGACUGUACCCACAGAAGAAGCCCCGGCUAACUCUGUGCCAGCAGCCGCCGUAAAAC